rnacentral:rRNA from 1 species
AUGAAGGCUUGUUAAAGAAAAAUUUUUGAGAGGAUAUUUUUCAUUAAGAAAAAUAAUUUUUAAUAUACAAUAGAUUAGUAUACCGAAAUUUAAACUUAGACUAUAAUUGAAAAGUACCGUGAGGGAAAGCUUAAAUAUAAUGAAAAAUUUAAUUUUUAAAAAGAAAAAUUGAGAUUUUGUACCUUUUGUAUCAGGGAUAAUUUAAAUUUUCUGGGUAGAUCAGACAUCCCGAAAGAAGAAUAGCUAAAAAAUUAAAAUCGUCUUAGUUGAAAAUAAGUUCUUAAUAAUUUUUUAGUGGUGAAAUAUCAGUCGGGUCUUCUAAUAUCUGGUUGUUUCAAAAAAAAAUUUAAUUUUGUUUGAAUGUAAAAAAAAAUAAUUCAAAAAAAUAAUCGGAGGGAAAAGCUUCUGGUUAUUUAAUAAAUUAUAGGGUGCUGUAGUUGGAUUUAUCUAAACUAAGCUUAGAAGUAGCUAUGUUAAUAAAGUGUUUUAACUAAAAUUCUCGGAAAAUGACAUUUGUAUGACCCUUACUAUAAAUAUGAAACUUUAGUGGUAAGUAUAAUACCAUCAGGAAUAAUGAUUUUAUUAGUAGAAAUUGUCUUUGUGAGUAAUUAUUAAUUGAAAUAAAAAUUAUUUUUUGUUAGUAGAUUAAAGAUGCAGUAAAGGAACUCGGCAAAAAAAAUUUCUGCCUGUUUAUCAAAAACAUGUCUUUAUGAAAAAUUUAUAUAAAGUCUAGCCUGCCCAGUGAUGUUUAAAUUUAACGGCCGCGGUAGUAUGACCUGCUAAGGUAGCAUAAUAAUUUGUCCUUUAAUUGGGGACUGGUAUGAACGGCUGAACAAGAAAUUGACUGUCUCUAUUGUAAAAUUUGAACUUUACGUUUAAGUGAAAAGGCUUAAAUGAUAUAGGGGGACGAUAAGACCCUAUAAAUCUUUAUAUUUUAUCUAGUGAAUUUCAGAGAUUAGUUAUAUAUUUGGUGUUACUAAGGUAAAAUAUUUUGUUGGGGCGACAGGAGUAUAACAAGUAACUGCUUUGGGUAUAGAAUUAAUUAUUUUUAUAGUGGGAAGAUAAAUUGAUCCUCUUCUGGAGAAAUCAGACUAAGUUACUUUAGGGAUAACAGCGUAAUCUUUUUUGAGAGUCCAUAUCGAAAAAAUGGUUUGCGACCUCGAUGUUGAAUUAAAGACCCUUAAUGGCGUAGGGGCUAUUAAAGGAGGUCUGUUCGACCUUUAAAUCUUUACAUGAUUUGAGUUCAGACCGGCGUAAGCCAGGUCGGUUUCUAUCUCUUAUAAAAAAUUGAACCCUUUUAGUACGAAAGGAUUUAAGGGUUGAAAUAGUUUUUUUGAUGUAGA